AACCGAAGAAAAAACAAAGGAAAAUAAAGGAAAAUGAAUUGGGGGUACAAUGUCCCUGAGGGAGUGUAGCCGACAAAGGCGUUGAGCAUGAGGCGGCGAAGCCUCUCAAACAGGCCUCAAACCACCACCAAACUAUUCCUCUUAACACCCUCUUUCUGUUUACAGCCUUAGUUCCUCCUAAACUCCAUCAGAUUUUUUGAAUCCAAACAAAAUAUCUAAGAACCCUAAAAAGAAAUUUCGAAAUUAAAUAGAUGUAUAGGUCUAAAUCAAACUCAAACCUUAGGGGUUUGGUUCGUCCCUCUCAGUGCUACAUUGCGGUCAGUGUUUUGAAGCAAAAAGAGAAGAUGGAGACCUACUUGCAAUGCUGCAAUUUUCCUUGGAAUUUGUUGGAGCUUGAAGACAAUAAUGAAUACAGAAAAUCAGAGAUUAUGUGAAAGAAUUUCUAUGAUGGUUGUGCAGUGCUUGAACUGGUAUGGCUUUAUGGGAUUUUAUUGCAUACUGUUGAGUAGCUAUGUCAUUAGUUCAUAUGGAUUGGAAUUGGAGUUAUGUGAAUGAAUUGUUGUGUUGAAAUUGUGUAGGCUAUGUUUUGAAUUGAGUGCCAUGGGAAAUUAGGUAUUGUAUUGAACAUGUUGGAUUGAGAUAUAUGUUAACUUGCACUUCUUGUGAAUUAGUAGACAAUAUUGCAUGAAUGUGUAUAGGUAGGCCAUGGUAUAUUGGAUGGUAUAUUUGGUGUGAAUUGGAUUGUAAAUGGUUAGGUGUUAAUGGAAAUGUCUUGAACUUGCUAUGGGUUGUUAUGGAUGCUUACUAUUGAAUUUCUAUUGUUUUGAGUUUCUGUCA